UACGUAGGGGGCAAGCGUUGUCCGGAAUCAUUGGGCGUAAAGAGCGUGUAGGCGGCCAGAUAAGUCCGCUGUGAAAUCUCGAGGCUCAACCUCGAGACGCCGAUGGAAACCAUGUGGCUAGAGUCCGGAAGAGGAGAGUGGAAUUCCUGGUGUAGCGGUGAAAUGCGCAGAUAUCAGGAAGAACACCCGUGGCUAAGGCGGCUCUCUAGUACGGUACUGACGCUGAGACGCGAAAGCGUGGGGAGCGAACAGG
rnacentral:rRNA from 1 species